rnacentral:rRNA from 1 species
UACAGAGGGGGCAAGCGUUGUUCGGAAUUACUGGGCGUAAAGGGUGCGUAGGUGGCGUCUUAAGUCUGGUUUGAAAGCAGGCGGCUCAACCGUCUGAUGUGGCUGGAAACUGGGGUGCUUGAAUGCGUUGGCGGUAGCCGGAACGGGUCAUGUAGCGGUGAAAUGCAUAGAUAUGACCCAGAACACCGAUUGCGAAGGCAGGCUACUACGACGUGAUUGACACUGAGGCACGAGAGCAUGGGUAGCGAACAGG